AUUGAACGCUGGCGGCAGGCCUAACACAUGCAAGUCGAACGAGUGGCGGACGGGUGAGUAAUGUCUGGGAAACUGCCCGAUGGAGGGGGAUAACUACUGGAAACGGUAGCUAAUACCGCAUACCAUCGGAUGUGCCCAGAUGGGAUUAGCUUGUAGGUGAGUGAACGGCUUACCUGGGCGACGCUCCCUAGCUGGGCUGAGAGGAUGACCAGAGAGAAUGGAAAUGGAACACGGUCCAGACUCCUACGGGAGGCAGCAGUGGGGAAUAUGGCACAAUGGGCGUAAGACUGAUGAAGGCAUGCCGGGGGUAUGAAGAAGGCCUUCGGGUUGUAAAGUCAUUGCAGCGGGGAGGCGUUACCCGCAGAAGAAGCACCGGCUAACUCCGUGCCAGCAGCCGCGGUAAUUC
rnacentral:rRNA from 1 species